GGGGACUUAGCUCAGUGGUAGAGCACUUGCCUAGCAAGCGCAAGGCCCUGGGUUCAGUCCCCA
rfam:Rattus norvegicus chromosome 5, whole genome shotgun sequence.